UUCACCCUAGUUUCUUCCUGUCAAUGGAAA
rnacentral:piRNA from 1 species